rnacentral:rRNA from 1 species
AUUGAACGCUGGCGGCAUGCCUUACACAUGCAAGUCGAACGGCAGCACGGACUUCGGUCUGGUGGCGAGUGGCGAACGGGUGAGUAAUGUAUCGGAACGUACCUUUCAGUGGGGGAUAACGUAGCGAAAGUUACGCUAAUACCGCAUAUUCUGUGGGCAGGAAAGCAGGGGAUCGAAAGACCUUGCGCUGAUUGAGCGGCCGAUAUCAGAUUAGCUAGUUGGUGGGGUAAAGGCCUACCAAGGCGACGAUCUGUAGCGGGUCUGAGAGGAUGAUCCGCCACACUGGAACUGAGACACGGUCCAGACUCCUACGGGAGGCAGCAGUGGGGAAUUUUGGACAAAGGGGGCAACCCUGAUCCAGCCAUGCCGCGUGAGUGAAGAAGGCCUUCGGGUUGUAAAGCUCUUUCGGCCGGGAAGAAAUCGCAUAGGCUAAUACCCUGUGUGGAUGACGGUACCGGAAUAAGAAGCACCGGCUAACUACGUG